rnacentral:sRNA from 1 species
AGAAGAGGCGCCGGCCCUCCGGGCUGCGAUAUUCCGCCGUGCCCAGGGAAACGGCGCGCGCCCUGAACGCG